UACAGAGGUGGCAAGCGUUGUUCGGAUUUAUUGGGUGUAAAGGGCAGGUAGGCGGCCAUGCAAGUCCGUUGUGAAAUCCCAGAGCUCAACUCUGGAAUUGCAAUGGAAACUCCAUGGCUUGAGUAUCGAAGAGGUGAGGGGAAUUCUCGGUGUAAGGGUGAAAUCUGUAGAUAUCGAGAGGAAUACCAAUGGCGAAGGCACCUCACUGGUCGGUCACUGACGCUGAACUGCGAAAGCUGGGGGAGCAAACAGG
rnacentral:misc_RNA from 1 species